rnacentral:rRNA from 1 species
UACGUAGGCAGCAAGCGUUGUUCGGAGUUACUGGGCGUAAAGGGUGUGUAGGCGGUUUUCUAAGUCUGGUGUGAAAUCUCCCGGCUCAACUGGGAGGGUGCGCCGAAAACUGGAAGGCUAGAGUACUGGAUGGGUAAGUGGAAUUCCUGGUGUAGCGGUGAAAUGCGUAGAUAUCAGGAGGAACACCUGUGGUGUAGACGGCUUACUGGACAGUAACUGACGCUGAGACACGAAAGCGUGGGUAGCAAAC